UCAAAUUUGAAAUCUGGCACCUUCGGUGUCCGAGUUGUAAUUUGAAGAAGGUAACUUUGGAGUUGGCUCUUGUCUAUGUUCCUUGGAACAGGACGUCACAGAGGGUGAGAAUCCCGUGCGAUGAGAUGUCCAACUCUAUGUAAAGUGCUUUCGAAGAGUCGAGUUGUUUGGGAAUGCAGCUCUAAGUGGGUGGUAAAUUCCAUCUAAAGCUAAAUAUUGGCGAGAGACCGAUAGCGAACAAGUACAGUGAUGGAAAGAUGAAAAGAACUUUGAAAAGAGAGUGAAAAAGUACGUGAAAUUGUUGAAAGGGAAGGGUUUGAGAUCAGACUUGGUAUUUUGUAUGUCUUGCUUUCGGGUGGGGCCUCUGCAGUUUACUGGGCCAGCAUCGGUUUGGACGGUAGGAUAAUGACAUUGGAAUGUGGCACUACUUCGGUGGUGUGUUAUAGACUUUGUUGAUACUGCCUGUCUAGACCGAGGACUGCGUCUUUGACUAGGAUGCUGGCAUAAUGAUCCUAAA
rnacentral:rRNA from 1 species